UACGUAGGGUCCGAGCGUUUGUCCGGAAUUACUGGGCGUAAAGAGCUCGUAGGUGGUUUGUCGCGUUGUUCGUGAAAACUCACAACUCAAUUGUGGGCGUGCGGGCGAUACGGGGCAGACUGGAGUACUGCAGGGGAGACUGGAAUUCCUGGUGUAGCGGUGGAAUGCGCAGAUAUCAGGAGGAACACCGGUGGCGAAGGCGGGUCUCUGGGCAGUGAACUGACGCUGAGGAGCGAAAGCGUGGGGAGCGAACAGGA
rnacentral:rRNA from 1 species